UACAGAGGUGGCAAGCGUUGUUCGGAAUUACUGGGCGUAAAGGGCGCGUAGGCGGCCCGCUAAGUCGAACGUGAAAUCCCUGGGCUCAACCCAGGAACUGCGUCCGAUACUGGUUGGCUUGAAUCCGGGAGAGGGACGUGGAAUUCCAGGUGUAGCGGUGAAAUGCGUAGAUAUCUGGAGGAACACCGGUGGCGAAGGCGACGUCCUGGACCGGCAUUGACGCUGAGGCGCGAAAGCCAGGGGAGCAAACGGG
rnacentral:rRNA from 1 species